rnacentral:rRNA from 1 species
AGUGAACGCUGGCGGUAGGCCUAACACAUGCAAGUCGAACGGCAGCACAGUAAGAGCUUGCUCUUACGGGUGGCGAGUGGCGGACGGGUGAGGAAUACAUCGGAAUCUACUUUUUCGUGGGGGAUAACGUAGGGAAACUUACGCUAAUACCGCACACGACCUACGGGUGAAAGCAGGGGAUCUUCGGACCUUGCGCGAUUGAAUGAGCCGAUGUCGGAUUAGCUAGUUGGCGGGGUAAAGGCCCACCAAGGCGACGAUCCGUAGCUGGUCUGAGAGGAUGAUCAGCCACACUGGAGCUGAGACACGGUCCAGACUCCUACGGGAGGCAGCAGUGGGGAAUAUUGGACAAUGGGCGCAAGCCUGAUCCAGCCAUACCGCGUGGGUGAAGAAGGCCUUCGGGUUGUAAAGCCCUUUUGUUGGGAAAGAAAAGCAGCAGGUUAAUACCCCGCUGUUCUGACGGUACCCAAAGAAUAAGCACCGGCUAACUUCGU